AGUACAUGAGGUCGAUAGAUAGAUGAUUUAUUUCUUAAAACUGGCAGCCAUAAUGCUGAAAUACGUUUAAGAUUACAUAUAAUUCAUAUAUAAAUAAAUUAACUAAAUUACAUCUUCAAAGAGUUAUAAGUUAUGAAACUAUUUCUAAAACGUUUGGUAUUAAAGUUAGUAUUAAAU